rnacentral:rRNA from 1 species
UGGGGAAUUUUCCGCAAUGGGCGAAAGCCUGACGGAGCAAUACCGCGUGAGGGAGGAAGGCUCUUGGGUUGUAAACCUCUUUUCUCAGGGAAGAAAACUGACGGUACCUGAGGAAUCAGCAUCGGCUAACUCCGUGCCAGCAGCCGCGGUAAUACGGAGGAUGCAAGCGUUAUCCGGAAUGAUUGGGCGUAAAGCGUCCGUAGGUGGCUGUGUAAGUCUAUUGUCAAAGCAUCGUGCUCAACACGAUCAAGGCAGUGGAAACUACAGAGCUAGAGUGCAUUCGGGGCAGAGGGAAUUCCUGGUGUAGCGGUGAAAUGCGUAGAGUUCAGGAAGAACACCGGUGGCGAAAGCGCUCUGCUAGGCUGCAACUGACACUGAGGGACGAAAGCUAGGGGAGCGAAUGGGAUUAGAUACCCCAGUAGUC